AACCAGCACCUCAAGUGGUCAGGAUGAUUAUUGGGCCUAAAGCAUCCGUAGCCGGCUUUGUUAGCUUUCGGUUAAAUCUGUACGCUUAACGUACAGGCUGCCGGGAAUACUGCAGAGCUAGGGAGUGGAAGAGGUAGACGGUACUCGGUAGGAAGGGGUAAAAUCCUUUGAUCUAUUGAUGACCACCUGUGGCGAAGGCGGUCUACCAGAACACGUCCGACGGUGAGGGAUGAAAGCUGGGGGAGCAAACCGGAUUAGAUACCCGGGUAGUCCCAGCUGUAAACUAUGCAAGCUCAGUGAUGCAUUGGCUUGUGGCCAAUGCAGUGCUGCAGGGAAGCCGUUAAGUUUGCCGCCUGGGAAGUACGUACGCAAGUAUGAAACUUAAAGGAAUUGGCGGGGGAGCACCACAAGGGGUGAAGCCUGCGGUUC
rnacentral:rRNA from 1 species